CAACAUUUCUAUAAGUAUUUAUUUUACCUGUUUUAAGGCGCACCGUUGUCCUUCCCUUUCUUUCUAUUUGUAUCCUUAGGGGAUUAGAGGGGACGCCCUUUCCAUUGGUGUGCUGCCUUGUUGUUAUACUUUUUGCUUUCUCUGUUGGCUUAUCAGCGCUGAUCCUUUCUCUCUAUUUCUUCUAUACCUAAACACUUUAGCUUGCUGUGUGUAAAGAGUGUGUCCUCUUUAAUUAGCAAAAAAAAAAAAUAACAGAUUUCAGUAGAAGUUGGCACUUUUAUAAAUUAAUCUUGUUACACCUCCCUGGUUGUCUAUUAGGCAACUGGUCCUGUUACUUCAGUGGAGCUAAACUCAAGAGGCAGCAAUUGGACAGCCACACAAAGUUUGGGAUUGGAUAGAAUGGGAGGGCUUGCAAAGACUGCAGACAAGAAAUCUGCUAAUUUUAUAAGCUUUUUUAGGAAUACCCCAAUGAAAAAAAGGACAACACUUAAUACAUGCAUGUUUUCAUUGGGGGUAUAUCUACUAAAUUGUGAUUUAUUUAUUUUACUGUUAUUUGAGCAGAGGAAAGUCCACUUAACACUUACAGGACUCUACAGGGCUGCAAGCACUAAAUAAGCAGGAUACUAGCAUAGAGUCUCUAGGAUAGGACAAAUAGCGAUCACAAACUAUAAUUAGUUCUUAAGGUGUUAAUAGUAAUAAAUACAGGUAGCCAUGUGUCCGAGCAUACAUGUACAUAUCAGCUAUGCAUCCCAGUGAAGUAAAAAGAGAU